GCUGGGUAUGGUGGUGCAUGCCUGUAGUCCCAGCUACGUGGGAGGCUGAGGCAGGAAGAUCACUUGAGCCCAGGAGGUUGAGGCUGCAGUGAGCUGUGGUUGUGCCACUGCACUCCAGCCUGGGUGACACAGCAAGACCCUGUCUCAA
ensembl:misc_RNA Metazoa_SRP Metazoan signal recognition particle RNA